rnacentral:rRNA from 1 species
UUCCGGUUGAUCCCGCCGGACCCCACUGCUAUCGAGAUGGGACUAAGGUAUGCUAGUCGAACGACCAGAACUAUGUCUGGAAGUGGCACACUGCUCAGUAACACGUAGCUAACCUACCCUUAGGACGUGGAUACCCCCGAGAAAUUGGGGUUAAUCCGCGAUAGGUGUAAUGUCCUGGAAUGGUAUUACGCCUAAAGGUGUAUCAUACAUGUUUGAUAUACGCCUAAGGAUGGGGCUGCGGCCGAUCAGGCUGUUGGUGAGGUAAUGGCUCACCAAACCUUUGACCGGUACGGGCCAUGAGAGUGGUAGCCCGGAGAUGGACACUGAGACAAGGGUCCAGGCCCUAAGGGGCGCAGCAACCGCGAAACCUCCACAAUGCACUCACGUGCGAUGGGGCUAUCUCGAGUGCCACCUGAUGAAGGUGGCUUUUCCUAGGUCUUCAAAGCCUUGGGAAUAAGAGGGGGGCAAGACUGGUGUCAGCCGCCGCGGUAACACCAGCCCCUCGAGUGGUGGGGAUGAUUAUUUGGCCUAAAGCGUCCGUAGCCGGCCGAGCAAGUCUUCCGUUAAAUCCAGCGUCUCAAGCGUUGGACUGCGGGAGAUACUACACGGCUAGAGAGUGGGAGAGGUCAGCGGUAUUCUGGGGGUAGGGGCGAAAUCCUUUGAUCCCCGGAGGACCACCAGUGGCGAAGGCUGCUGACUAGAACACGUCUGACGGUCAGGGACGAAAGCUGGGGUAGCGAACCGGAUUAGAUACCCGGGUAGUCCCAGCCGUAAACGAUGCAUGCUAGGUGUUGGGUUGGCCACGAGCCACCCCAGUGCCGCAGGGAAGCCGUUAAGCAUGCCGCCUGGGAAGUACGAUCGC